rnacentral:tRNA from 1 species
GGCAAGAUGGCCGAGUGGUUAUGGCGGAAGUUUCAAGGGAAACCUUACCCGUUCAACGGGCAGCAUGCUUCUAGGGCAACCUGCGUGAGUUCGAAUCUCGCUCUUGUCA